UAAUUGAAGCUAGUUAACCAUUAAAUUUUUAGUUAUAAAAUGGAUCAAACUUUUUUUUUAUAACAUGCAAAGGAAGAAACUUAUGGCUCAAAUUCACUUAUGUGUUUAUGCUUUGAUUAUCUUUCUUUCUCCAUUUCUUGCUUUAACAAAUGACCGUAUUGUGUAUCAUGGCUGUUAUUCUGAUGAUCAAUGUCCAAAUGAGUGUCCUGCUAUUCUUAUGAGGUGCAUUCACAGCCUUUGUGUGGAGUUUAUCAGAACUGAUCCGCUAUUUAUAUGAGGUUCAUCCAUGGCCUUUGUGUGGAGUUUAUCAAAUAAUUAUAUAAUUUCAUAUGUAUGUCAUAGUAUUUGUAUUUUUAUAAUUUACCUCAAAGUUUGAGUAAUGUUUCUCUUUUUUUAUAUAUUGAUUUAUGUUUCUCUCGUA